AACGAACGCUGGCGGCAGGCUUAACACAUGCAAGUCGAACGCAUCCUUCGGGGUGAGUGGCAGACGGGUGAGUAACGCGUGGGAACGUGCCCUUCAGUUCGGGAUAACCCAGGGAAACUUGGGCUAAUACCGGAUACGUGCGAGAGCAGAAAGAUUUAUCGCUGAAGGAUCGGCCCGCGUCUGAUUCGCUAGUUGGUGGGGUAAUGGCCCACCCAGGCGACGAUCAGUAGCUGGUCUGAGAGGAUGAUCAGCCACAUUGGGACUGAGACACGGCCCAAACUCCUACGGGAGGCAGAGGUGGGGAAUAUUGGACAAUGGGCGCAAGCCUGAUCCGGCCAGGCCGCGUGAGUGAUGAAGGCCUUAGGGUUGUAAAGCUCUUUCGUCCGGGACGAUAAUGACGGUACCGGAAGAAGAAGCCCCGGCUAACUUCGUGCCAGCCGCCGCGGUAA
rnacentral:rRNA from 1 species